rnacentral:rRNA from 1 species
CACACGGAUAACAUACCGAAAGGUAUACUAAUACGGGAUAACAUACGAAAGUCGCAUGGCUUUUGUAUCAAAGCUCCGGCGGUACAGGAUGGACCCGCGUCUGAUUAGCUAGUUGGUAAGGUAAUGGCUUACCAAGGCAACGAUCAGUAGCCGACCUGAGAGGGUGAUCGGCCACACUGGAACUGAGACACGGUCCAGACUCCUACGGGAGGCAGCAGUGGGGAAUAUUGCACAAUGGGCGAAAGCCUGAUGCAGCAACGCCGCGUGAGCGAUGAAGGCCUUCGGGUCGUAAAGCUCUGUCCUCAAGGAAGAUAAUGACGGUACUUGAGGAGGAAGCCCCGGCUAACUACGUGCCAGCAGCCGCGGUAAUACGUAGGGGGCUAGCGUUAUCCGGAAUUACUGGGCGUAAAGGGUGCGUAGGUGGUUUUUUAAGUCAGAAGUGAAAGGCUACGGCUCAACCGUAGUAAGCUUUUGAAACUAGAGAACUUGAGUGCAGGAGAGGAGAGUAGAAUUCCUAGUGUAGCGGUGAAAU